rnacentral:rRNA from 1 species
GACGAACGCUGGCGGCGUGCUUAACACAUGCAAGUCGAACGGAAAGGCCCUGCUUUUGUGGGGUGCUCGAGUGGCGAACGGGUGAGUAACACGUGAGUAACCUGCCCUUGACUUUGGGAUAACUUCAGGAAACUGGGGCUAAUACCGGAUAGGAGCUCCUGCUGCAUGGUGGGGGUUGGAAAGUUUCGGUGGUUGGGGAUGGACUAGCGGCUUAUCAGCUUGUUGGUGGGGUAGUGGCUUACCAAGGCUUUGACGGGUAGCCGGCCUGAGAGGGUGACCGGCCACAAUGGGACUGAGAUACGGCCCAGACUCGUACGGGAGGCAGCAGUGGGGAAUAUUGCACAAUGGGCGGGAGCCUGAUGCAGCAACGCCGCGUGCGGGAUGACGUCCUUCGAGUUGUAAACCGCUUUCGCCUGUGACGAAGCGUGAGUGACGGUAAUGGGUAAAGAAGCACCGGCUAACUACGUG